rnacentral:tRNA from 1 species
GGGGGUGUAGCCCAGUGGUAGAGCACUUGCCCAGCUUGCAGGAGGCCCUGGGUUUGAGCCACAGCACCACCC